GUCAUAUAGAUCCUGAGUAGCAUGACUGUGAUUUGUGCCUCCUACUUUAACUGCCUCAUCCUCCAACAAACAUUUCACACCACAAGUAGGUUUCCAAUGAAAUUUCACAUAAUGGGCUUUUCCAGCCUUGUUGAUCAACAUGUAGGUGUUAACACCAGAGCCUUCCAUAUGUCUAUAAUCUUGUGGAACACCCAAAUCAUCAAAUAGGAAGGAGAACAUGUGCAAACUUUCAGGAUGGUGGGAGAAGAAGUCAAGAAUCCUCCAGUUCUCCUGAAUAUGAGACUUAGGGUUGGGCUUAAGGGCAUGCACCAUGUCUGGGAAUUUCAUUCCAUCACGGAUGAAGAAGACAGGGAAAUU
rnacentral:lncRNA from 1 species